rnacentral:rRNA from 1 species
CAAGGAUUCCCCUAGUAACUGCGAGUGAAGAGGGAAAAGCUCAAAUUUAAAAUCUGGCAGUUUCACUGUCCGAGUUGUAAUUUAGAGAAGUGUUGCCCGCGUUGGACCGUGUACAAGUCUCCUGGAACGGAGCGUCAUAGAGGGUGAGAAUCCCGUCUUUGACACGGACUACCAAGGCUUUGUGGUACGCUCUCGAAGAGUCGAGUUGUUUGGGAAUGCAGCUCUAAAUGGGUGGUAAAUUCCAUCUAAAGCUAAAUAUUGGCGAGAGACCGAUAGCAAACAAGUACCGUGAGGGAAAGAUGAAAAGAACUUUGGAAAGAGAGUUAAACAGUACGUGAAAUUGUUGAAAGGGAAACGCUUAAAGUCCAGUCGCGUUGGUUAGGAAUCAGCCUUGGUUUUCCUUGGUGCACUUCCUAGUCGACGGGUCAACAUCAGUUUUGACCGUUGGAUAAAGGUCAAGGGAAUGUGGCACCUUCGGGUGUGUUAUAGCCUUUGAUUGUAUACAGCGGUUGGGACUGAGGAACUCAGCACGCCGAAAGGCCGGGUCUUGUACCACGUUCGUGCUUAG